rnacentral:rRNA from 1 species
UACAGAGGUCUCAAGCGUUGUUCGGAUUCAUUGGGCGUAAAGGGUGCGUAGGUGGCGGGGUAAGUCAGGUGUGAAAUUUCGGAGCUUAACUCCGAAACUGCAUUUGAUACUGCCUUGCUUGAGGACUGGAGAGGAGACUGGAAUUUACGGUGUAGCAGUGAAAUGCGUAGAGAUCGUAAGGAAGACCAGUGGCGAAGGCGAGUUUCUGGACAGUUACUGACGCUGAGGCACGAAGGCCAGGGGAGCAAACGGG